rnacentral:lncRNA from 1 species
UGGUGGCCACCCAAACCAACUUUCACUGCCUUACUCUUGAAACCCCACUCUCUCCAUCUCCUGGCUGAAGAACCACAAGAGCUCUAAGGAGAGCAUCACAUCAGCAUAUGGAGGGCUUCUGGACAGCCAGAUGCAGCAAAAUGGAAAUCCACUGCAAAUUCUCUAGCAACUUAGUAUGUGGAGGUGAACACCAGCAAAUUGGGUGUCAAUGGCAUGCCCUAUGUCACCAUGCUCAGGGGAGAUGCUGCUGCUGGCCAGGAGCAUGGGGAUAGCAGGCCUGAGGCUCCACUUUACAGAACUCUACCAUCAUUAUAAAAGUUUUGGAGUAGCCUAUGAAAGACAGAACAUGUCAUCAGCUAGGAGACAAAAUCCUCUACAGUGAGCAGUUCUCCUGGAUAUAAACUUGGUGCUGGUUCAUUUAGCAUCUGUGAUGAACCAAUGUCUAAAAUGAGAGUCAGUUUCUCCUAAAGUAAGAUCACAUGAGUCAACUGAUAAAAGUGGGAAUCACUCCUGUGAGUAUUGUCCCUCAUAAUUCAUUCAAAAACAUUUGCUUCUGUCUUUGCAGCUUUAUGCUCUCCAAAUUCCCACACUGAGUAAAAAC